rnacentral:misc_RNA from 1 species
GAUGAAGAACGUAGCGAAAUGCGAUAAGUAAUGUGAAUUGCAGAAUUCAGUGAAUCAUCGAAUCUUUGAACGCAUCUUGCGCUCCUUGGUAUUCCUUGGAGCAUGCCUGUUUGAGUAUCAUGAGCAAAUCUCAAAGUCAAUUGCUUUUGUUGAUUCAAUUGGUUUUGCUUUGGACUUGGAGGCCUUGCAGAUUUCACAGUCUGCUCCUCUUAAAUGCAUUAGCUGGAUCUCAGUAAUUAUGCUUGGUUCCACUCGGCGUGAUAAGUAUCACUCGCUGAGGACACUGUUAAAAAGAUGGCCAGGAAAAUACUGAUUGAACCGCUUCUAACGGUCUAUUAAGUUAGACAAUUACCCUUAAGUUUGAUCUCAAAUCAGGUAGGACUACCCGCUGAACUUAAGCAUAUCAAUAAGCGGAGGA